rnacentral:lncRNA from 1 species
UUUAUUUCUGUUCUAGGAAAAGGAAAGUUCUUAAAGAAAUGUUCUUCCUUUAAGAGUCUAUGUAAACACUAUUCAAUAAGAGCCAUUGGCCACUUGCGGCAAUUGAGUGCUUGAAAUAUGGCUAGUGAGGUGAAAAAAUGCAUUUCUGAUUUAAUUUCAAUUAAAAUCACCCCUUGUAGCUCAUGGCUACUAUGUCAGACAGAGCAGCACUGGAGGCCACGUGCGGUGGCUCAUGCCCAUAAUCCCAACAUUUUGGAAGGCCAAGAUGGGAGG